CUUUCCGAUGGCUGAUGGGUUCUGCCGGAAAUAUGGAGGGCCUGGCCUUCAAUAGGUCUGGGUACAGCUCUACUCCCACCCUGUGAAGGAAGGGUUGUGAGAGGUGAGGAGAAACCUCUGGAGAGGCCAGAUCUGGUGGGGGGUCGAAUGAGGGGACAGAAAGUGCACUGACAGAAGAGGAGAAAUGGAGACAUGAAGAAUGACCAGGGGAGAUGAAAGAGAAAAUCCCCUUGAGGUGUUGGAGUGUGAAGCCAUUGUAUUUUGCUCCAGUUACAGGUGGGGAAACCGGGUGCCAGAGGAAAACCCUGACUCCUAAGCCAGGUGGAGAAGGGCAUGUUCUUUUUUUUUUUUUAAUGUUUUUUUAAAUGUUUAUUUAUUUUAAGAGAGAGCGUAGGAGGGGCAGAAAGAGAUGGGGAGAGAGAUCCCAAGCAGACUCCAGGCUGUCAGGGCUCAAUCCCGAGAAUGUUGCGAUCACGACCUGAGCUAAAACCAAGGGCCAGAUGUUUAACUGACAGGUGCCCAGAGAGGGGCAAGUUCUAAGAAGGGCUCAUGGAGAGUGAUGCUGAGGCCUGAGGCACAGGGGCCCCUGGCUCUGAAGAGGGUACCUGGCAUGCUCGGGGUGGGUUCUAGGAGCUUCAGGAAAGGGACAUGGAGGAUUUGGCCAAGAUUAGGGGAUCUGCCUGAGAGAGUUGGGGUCUGUGUUGCCAUUCUCAGAGUCUGGCUGAUGGGUUGUGUGCCAGACACAGGUUAGGUCUAAAGUGGAGACACUAAAGCAUAAUAAUUUGGCACAGAGCAUCUGUUUUGGGCAGAGGGAGAGGGUGAACACUCAGAUAGGGCUCUCCUGGUCCUUUCUGCCUCAGAGUAACCUGCAGAUGCAGAAAGAGGCCGCUGUCCUUGGACAUCAGUCUCUCUGCCCUGUGCUGUGUGGAUCCUCUCCCAGGCCUGGGGCUGUCAAGACCCUGGACUUACAGGACAAUUUGGCCGGUGGUGGAUUCUUUGCUCUCCCCACCCCUCAGCUGAGUGUGCAGCAAAGCUGGCUGCAGAAAUCUCUGGAAGCGUGUUGGGCAGGCAGAGGGAGGGGAGCGUUACAUAAGAGCCCACUGAUGUGCAGGAAGUCUGGAGCAGCCUUUAGAUGAGAGAGGCAGCGUUCCCAUCCAGCCUAGAAAAGCAGGAAUAGCAACGGCGGUUAUUUCUGGCCCCUCACCGCCGCCCAGCCCAGCGCCGGGGGGUGCUCAGCUUCAUGGAGGGGCAGAGAGAGAAGGAGAGAGAGAAAGAAUACCAAACAGGCUCCAAACUGCCAGCAUGGAGCCCAACGUGGGGCUCAAACUCAUGACCCAUGAGAUCAUGACCUGAGCUGAAAUGAAGAGCUGGAUGCUUAACCGCCUGAGACAGCCAGGCGCCACUGUUCCCACCUUUUCACUCUCAUGAAUAACACUGCUAUGAAUAUUAGUGGGCAAGUA